rnacentral:rRNA from 1 species
GACGAACGCUGGCGGCGUGCUUAACACAUGCAAGUCGAACGGAAAGGCCCUGCUUUUGUGGGGUGCUCGAGUGGCGAACGGGUGAGUAACACGUGAGUAACCUGCCCUUGACUUUGGGAUAACUUCAGGAAACUGGGGCUAAUACCGGAUAGGAGCUCCUGCUGCAUGGUGGGGGUUGGAAAGUUUCGGCGGUUGGGGAUGGACUCGCGGCUUAUCAGCUUGUUGGUGGGGUAGUGGCUUACCAAGGCUUUGACGGGUAGCCGGCCUGAGAGGGUGACCGGCCACAUUGGGACUGAGAUACGGCACAGACUCCUACGGGAGGAAGCAGUGGGGAAUAUUGCACAAUGGGCGGAAGCCUGAUGCAGCAACGCCGCGUGCGGGAUAACGGCCUUCGGGUUGUAAACCGCUUUCGCCUGUGACGAAGCGUGAGUGACGGUAAUGGGUAAAGAAGCACCGGCUAACUACGUG